GCUCAACCGGGGAGGGUCAUUGGAAACUGGGGAACUUGAGUGCAGAAGAGGAGAGUGGAAUUCCACGUGUAGCGGUGAAAUGCGUAGAGAUGUGGAGGAACACCAGUGGCGAAGGCGACUCUCUGGUCUGUAACUGACGCUGAGGCGCGAAAGCGUGGGGAGCGAACAGGAUUAGAUACCCUGGUAGUCCACGCCGUAAACGACGAGUGCUAAGUGUUAGAGGGUUUCCGCCCUUUAGUGCUGCAGCAAACGCAUUAAGCACUCCGCCUGGGGAGUACGGUCGCAAGACUGAAACUCAAAGGAAUUGACGGGGGCCCGCACAAGCGGUGGAGCAUGUGGUUUAAUUCGAAGCAACGCGAAGAACCUUACCAGGUCUUGACAUCCUCUGACAACCCUAGAGAUAGGGCUUCCCCUUCGGGGGCAGAGUGACAGGUGGUGCAUGGUUGUCGUCAGCUCGUGUCGUGAGAUGUUGGGUUAAGUCCCGCAACGAGCGCAACCCUUGAUCUUAGUUGCCAGCAUUCAGUUGGGCACUCUAAGGUGUCUGCCGGUGACAAACCGGAGGAAGGUGGGGAUGACGUCAAAUCAUCAUGCCCCUUAUGACCUGUGCUACACACGUGCUACAAUGGGCAGAACAAAG
rnacentral:rRNA from 1 species